rnacentral:tRNA from 1 species
UGGAGGCGGUACGAGCCGGGGGCGGUGCGGUGCUUGCGGUGCCGCUCGACAUGCGCAAGGUCGCCUCCUGCGCUUCCGCC